rnacentral:rRNA from 1 species
UACGAAGGGGGCUAGCGUUGCUCGGAAUCACUGGGCGUAAAGCGCACGUAGGCGGAUCUUUAAGUCAGGGGUGAAAUCCUGGAGCUCAACUCCAGAACUGCCUUUGAUACUGAGGACCUUGAGUAUGGGAGAGGUGAGUGGAACUGCGAGUGUAGAGGUGAAAUUCGUAGAUAUUCGCAAGAACACCAGUGGCGAAGGCGGCUCACUGGCCCAUAACUGACGCUGAGGCACGAAAGCGUGGGGAGCAAACAGG